UACAGAGGUCUCAAGCGUUGUUCGGAUUCAUUGGGCGUAAAGGGUGUGUAGGUGGCGCCGUAAGUCAGGUGUGAAAUUUCGGAGCUUAACUCCGAAACUGCAUUCGAUACUGGCGUGCUUGAGGACUGGAGAGGAGACUGGAAUUCAUGGUGUAGCAGUGAAAUGCGUAGAGAUCAUGAGGAAGACCAGUGGCGAAGGCGGGUCUCUGGACAGUUCCUGACACUGAGACACGAAGGCCAGGGGAGCAAACGGG
rnacentral:rRNA from 1 species